rnacentral:rRNA from 1 species
GAGAUUCCCCCAGUAGCGGCGAGCGAACGGGGAGGAGCCCAGAGCCUGAAUCAGCAUGUGUGUUAGUGGAAGCGUCUGGAAAGGCGCGCGAUACAGGGUGACAGCCCCGUACACAAAAGCGCAUGUGCUGUGAGCUCGAUGAGUAGGGCGGGACACGUGGUAUCCUGUCUGAAUAUGGGGGGACCAUCCUCCAAGGCUAAAUACUCCUGAC